UUUUUUUUAAGUAAUUCAGUUACCGUUCGAGAUUUUUUAUGAGAUUUUUUUUUUUAUUUGACAGAUUAAAUAUUGAAGAUGGAUGCUAAGUUUCUUGUAUGCGUUUAUUUCGAUGGAGUCAUAUUGACAACAAGUGUUGGAUGUGUAUUUGAAUGUCGGCAACAAAUAGCAAUGAGAUUUAAUAGAAAUGUAUCGUUCGAUGAAAUGAAAGCAAUGAUUAAUGCAAAAAUCCAUAGACGUUGUGGGAGAAGGAUAUCAAAAAUUUUCUACAAGUUUCCAGUUUCGACAAAUCCGGUCAAAUUCGUCGAAAUGGAACUUGUAGACGACGAAGACGUGGAGACAAUGGUCGAUCUCUACUGUGGGAAUGGGAGUGAGAAGAAUGCACCGAUUCACUUAUUUGCUGAGUUAGUCGAUAUGGAGCAAAAUGCAUCUGAUGAAGAAGACGGGGCUGAAGAACCGCGGAUGGUGGCUCCAAUAUCAUACGUUGAUAGUGAAUCAACUAUGGGUGGGAUCAGUAUCGACCUGAAUAUUACAGCCGAUGUUGACAUGGUUGGUGGUGAAGAAAAAGGUGCCGGCGAAGAAGAAGGUGGUGGCGAUAUGAAGAGGUCGAUAGUGACGCUGAUCCCGAUGUGGAUGAUGUACCUGAUGAUAUUGACGCUGAAGAUGUCAACAACGAUGAAGGCAUUAACGCUUCUUCAGUCGGGGAGCAGAUGCGGCAUAUUGUGAUACACAAUAAUCCUGGGCCACACAUGUCGCUCAUAGACCCCGACACAGCUUAUGUAUCUGAGUUUCCGGAGUACCCUGAAAUAGGUCAUUCUCACGGGCUGGCCGUAACAUCUGAUGAUGAUGAGUUAUUCAUAGGCUAGAGAUUCAGUUGUAAAGAAGAGUGCGUAUAUGCCAUUAAACGGUACAGCAUGAAGAUAUCGGUGGAUUAUAAAGUCUCCGUCUCUACUCCGACAAUAUAUGUUGGGGAGUGUUGGAAGGCUGCGGAAGGCUGCAAUUGGCGGGUACGAGCUGCAUUCAUUAGAAGUUCUCAGAUGUGGGAAAUACGAAAAUUUGUUGGUCCUCAUAUAUGCACAUCAACACGUAUGACAGAAGAUCAUGGAAAACUUGAUUCGAAAACUAUUUGUACGUGUAUCAUGCCAAUGGUGAAGGAUAUGCCGACCAUUAGAGUUUCGAUACUCAUUGCGGAAAUGCAAGCACGAUUCCAGUAUCGAGUCUCAUAUCGGAAGGCAUGGGUAGCUAAACAGAUGGCGAUGGAGCAACUGUAUGGGGAUUACGAUUCGUCGUAUAACGAGCUUCAAGGUUGGAUAGCUGCUAUGCGGGAGUACGUACCGGGGACUAUGAUUGAGUUGCAGACAAGUCUAUAUUACGGCCCGGAUGAGCAGUUACAGCCGGCAAAAAGAAUUUUCCAUCGGAUGUUCUGGAUGUUCGAUCCAUGUGUGCGGGCAUUUCCCCACUGCAAGCCACUUGUGCAGGUGGAUGAGACCUGGUUGUAUGGAAAAUAUACACAGAUACUGCUUCUUGCAGUUGCGCAAGACAGUAACAGAAACGUGCUCCCGAUAGCAUUUGCUAUCGUAGGUAAAAAGAACAUGGAGUCUUGGGAAUUCUUCCUAACAAAUCUGCGGAAGUAUGUUAUUAGGAACGAUAACAUUUGCAUCAUCUCCGAUAGAGGGAAGGGUUUAAUUGCAGCUAUUAGGCGUUCCGGUGUGUCAUGGAGAUCCGUUUACUGCAUUCGUCACAUUGCGUCAAACUUCCAUAAAGAUUACAAGUAUGCAGACCGGAAGAGACAAGUCGUGGCAAUGGGUAAAUGAUAACCUUAUCUUUUCAAUCUAAGUUGUAAUGUUUGAUGUUAUGGACUUACUAGAACUUAUUUUUCGUUAAUACGUAUGCAGCGUACGAGUUAAAGCCACAUAUUUUCCGGAAAAGAAUGAACCGACUUGAGAGUGACAUAGAGGGGCAGACAAACACAUUUUUCCGGCAAUGGUUGCGCACAAUGGAGCCGUGGCAGUGUGCUCAAAGUUUUGACGAGGGCUUUCGUUAUGGCCACAUGACCACAAACUUAGACAAGGGGAUCGAUGCUAUCUUGUUGAAAACACGUCAUCUUCUGAUUGCAUCGGUAUUUUCUGCUACUUUCUACAGGUUGGCUACGUUGAUGCCAAGAAUGGGGGGGCAGCAAGUCGACCAGAUUCAGGCGGGACAUGUGUUUGUCGAACAUGUGAGGGAUGCAAUGGUCGUAAAUCGUCGGUUGGCAAGGUCAAUGAACGUGAAAAUAUAUUCACGACGACUGGAAACGUUUCAAGUUACUGGGAACAUCGGUCGUCGAACUAGGUCCUACGGAGUUGAUCUUCGGAACAGACGGUGCGAGUGCAUGAAGUUCGAAACACUUCAUUAUCCCUGUGCGCAUGUCGUGGCAGCGUGUGCUAAAGUCAACCUUGAUGCUAAACAAUAUGUCGAUGAUGUGUACACGCUGGAGCGCACAUUGCGUGUCUGGGAGAAUGAGUUCCCCGUCCUGCCGGACCUAUCUACGUGGGAGGUGCCGCCGAUCACUUUUGAGCUUCUCCCAGACGCAGGGCUACAGAGGAAUCCAAGGGGUCGUCCGCAGUCAAGCAGAAUCCGUAAUGAGAUGGACAUUAGGGAGAAAUCUGACAGAAAGCAUUGUGGAAUAUGUAGGUUAAGUGGUCAUAGCCGGAAUAAAUGUCCUAACCGAAACUUUCAUGUCAGGCAGUCGUCGGGAUCGAGGCGAAAUUGAGCUACUGACCCAAAAUUUUUAUGUAUAUUGUUAUAAAAGGUAAUUUUAAGAUUAUAUCGAUUUUUUUAUUCGGCUUAUGCUUACGCUUAAAUUGUAUCCAAAUUGUAACAUUACCAUUUAAAUGUUAAAAAAAACCAUGUGAGCGUUGUGGAAUUAUUAAGAUUAUAUCGAAAAUAGAGGCAUUCAUAAUUUGAUUGAGCUUUAAUAUAAUGAAAAAAGUCGUGGCAAUGGAUAUUUAUACAUAAAAUUCAGAAGUAAGCAAUACCUAAAAUACAAAUAUGGCAUUUAUGGAAAAAGUGCAUUAAACCCCUAAAUUUGAUGGUUCGAUGGUGUUGUCCGAGGGGUAUACCUAUGCGAAGGUCGACGCUCACGGCCUGGGCGACGACUAACAUCCUCAUCGUCCGCAGGUGGGGGCGUGGAAAACGUAGAGGAAAGGUCUUGUUGCUCGUUCGCCGCCGACGAACUUGAACCAUCAUGAGUCUUAUAAUGCUGCAGAUACGUGUCGGACAGGCCGGGCAUGCCGUACUGCGGCCAAGGGGAUCCAAACAGUUCAAAGUCGUAGGCGUAUUCGCCCUGUGCGAAGCUCGGAUAAUAUUCACCGCCCACCGAAUCCGGACGAUAGCCAUGUGAAUCCAUAUUUAACUGUGAUUGUCCGGGAUCUGGUUAGGGGUUCUGCUCGGGCUCUGCCUGUUGCGGAGAAUAAUAUGCCAUCGGCUCCGUAUCCAGCACGCUCGUUGCGUCCGAUCCCCAAACUUGUUGCACGUAGGGGGGAUUACAGUCGAUUGCGCUCCAAGUAAAUACGGCUUCCCGCAGCUAUGGCACCAUUGUGCAUACUCCAAUGAUGGUUGCAGGUCGGUAGCCAUAACCAUCUGAGGAAUUCGGCGCAAUCGAUCAUUCCACAGUGCGACGUAUUUCCGGUGAAAUAUUCCCCAGUCCAAUUGAACUCUUCCUCUCUUUGUCAAGCCGUGAUCAUCCCCCAAUUGGCACGGCGGAUCCGGGAUAGGUUGGAUGCACCCAAACUGCCGAAGCACCCGAUCACCGUGAUACUACUCGACGACGUUGAAAUUUAUUAUUAGUGUGUUAGUACACCAUAUGUGGGAAUCAACGAGUGCGGACGAGAGUACAACAUUCAAAAUUUUCGGCCUCCGAUACGGCAUCCAUAUAAACUGCAUAAGUAAUAACAUUGUAACGAGUUAGACCAAUAACAUGUGAGUAAGAUAUAGAAAUAGAAUAGAUGCCAUUAAUAAUAGAAUAGCAGCUUACCCCUUCCUGGGCAUGUUGUUCAAUCCUGAAGCGGUAUAUCGGGACAUCACUCGACUUCCCGAUGCCUAGACGGGUCCACCUACAAAAAUUAGUACAGGGUUUAGGGUUGGUAACAUUACCAUAUAUAUUAUUCGGGACAAAUAAUGACAAUUUGUAAUAUUUUUUUCACCUGAGUGCCAAUGGAUACAGAUAGGGUUGGUGAGUAACGCGUGCCAAAAACGGCAUCCGAUAAAGCGCCCAUAACUGCAGCAGUAUGAGGCAUCCGCCGAUGUCUUUAACUUGCGGCUCUGUCGUCCGACAAAGCUCCCGGUACAGAGUUGCUAGAACGGCAGAACCCCAGCUGUACGAUCUAGCAGUGGAGAAAUCAGCUAGCAGGGGCAAGUAUGACAAAUGCACACUGUCGCCGUUUGCAUCAGGCAUGAGUACUGCCCCUAUCAUAUGCAUGAUGUACGCUCGAGCAGCGCACAUCAGCUCACCUUCACUGGCGGUUGCUGAUAAUCCGCAUAUUUUGGCUUUUAGCCAUGUAAAUUUUAUGCCGGAAAAAUAUUUAUCACCAUCCUCUGGUGACUCUCCUAGGGGUUGAUAGCAAACUGUAGCCGGAUCGGUGAAUGAAGAUACUCCCGUUACGGGACUCCCGUCAAUUGGGAGUCCAAGCUGCACUGCAACAUCCUCCAAGGUCACCGUGCACUCCCCGCACGGAAAAUGGAAAGUAUGGGUCUCUGAACGUCACCGCUCCACUAGCGCAGAUAAUAAAUCAAACCGCAAGUCGGAGGACCGGAUCAAUGCUACUGACCCAAAUCCGGCUAGCUCCAGGUACGGCAUAAAUCGUGCAUCCGGAGCUAUCUUUAAAGCACUGACACGGCCCCUUAAUACUCGGAACGAGUCCUGAUAGUGUAAAAUUACAAAAAAAUAUUACGAUAACAUAAUUUAUUUGUAUAUACUGCGUAUAUCGUUUUUAAAUAAAUAGAACUCCUGAUUAACAAAUAAUAAAUCAUACCGCGUUAUUAGCCGCAUCAGAUAUGUGUCUAAUAUCGGUUCAUAUCAAUCGAGCCAUUGUGAUGCCUGCAAGUUGAAAAAAAAAGUUAGUAAAUAAAUCUUACUUCGGCCAUUUAUUCAUAUUUUUUUCUUCGCAUUUUAUUACUUUAAAAAAUAUUAUAAUUUCUAAUUUUAUAAUUUUACAUUAUUUCAGUGCAUAAUGUUUGAAAUUUAUUACUCUAGUGUGUUAUUUAAAUUAAUUUGGUGUAAAAAAUUAACCCUUACCCCUGCCCUUUGCUCGUAUUAUUUUCUCGAUUUUUAUUACUUUAAAUAAAAUUAUUUUAUUCUCGUAUUUUAUUGUUUUAUAUUAUUUCAGUACAUUUUCUUUGAAAUAUUUUGUAUUAAUUAUUUCUGAAUUUUAUAAAAGUUAGUAAUACACUCUUACUUCUGCCAUUUGUUCGUAUUUUUUUCUCCGCAUUUUAUUACUUUAAAAAAUAUCAUAAACUUAGUCUUUUAAAAUUUUACAUUAUUUCAGUGCAUCGUGUUUGAAAUUUAUUAAUUUAGUGUGUUAAGGGAGAAUAAAAGAAAAUAAUAAAUAAGUAGGGAUUAAAAGGUAAUUAGCCACAUAUUUGUGCCGCCUUUUUUUCCCCUCCAUCACCCUUUUUUUUUCCUCUAUUAUUUUGGUAAAUAAAGAAAAAGUUUAUAAAAUUUUGGUAUUUUUUUUGUAAUAUUUUGCUAAAAAAGCCGCAAUAAACCCUUUCCCCNNNNNNNNNNNNNNNNNNNNNNNNNNNNNNNNNNNNNNNNNNNNNNNNNNNNNNNNNNNNNNNNNNNNNNNNNNNNNNNNNNNNNNNNNNNNNNNNNNNNNNNNNNNNNNNNNNNNNNNNNNNNNNNNNNNNNNNNNNNNNNNNNNNNNNNNNNNNNNNNNNNNNNNNNNNNNNNNNNNNNNNNNNNNNNNNNNNNNNNNNNNNNNNNNNNNNNNNNNNNNNNNNNNNNNNNNNNNNNNNNNNNNNNNNNNNNNNNNNNNNNNNNNNNNNNNNNNNNNNNNNNNNNNNNNNNNNNNNNNNNNNNNNNNNNNNNNNNNNNNNNNNNNNNNNNNNNNNNNNNNNNNNNNNNNNNNNNNNNNNNNNNNNNNNNNNNNNNNNNNNNNNNNNNNNNNNNNNNNNNNNNNNNNNNNNNNNNNNNNNNNNNNNNNNNNNNNNNNNNNNNNNNNNNNNNNNNNNNNNNNNNNNNNNNNNNNNNNNNNNNNNNNNNNNNNNNNNNNNNNNNNNNNNNNNNNNNNNNNNNNNNNNNNNNNNNNNNNNNNNNNNNNNNNNNNNNNNNNNNNNNNNNNNNNNNNNNNNNNNNNNNNNNNNNNNNNNNNNNNNNNNNNNNNNNNNNNNNNNNNNNNNUUUCUUUCUCUUUUUCUCUUCUCCUUUCCCUUUCUUUCCUUCUUUUUCUUUCUUCCCUCUCAUUUCUUCCUUUCUUUCUCUCUUUCUUUCUUUCUUUCCUUCUCCUUCUGCCCCCCCACCACCGACCCCCCCUAUUAUUAACUGGUGCCGCCAAUCCCAUUGGCGUGACCAGUUAAUUGUCACAUCGAUCUGAUUUUUUUGGUUUUUUUAUAUAUUUUGGUAAAUAAAAAAAGUUAUAAUAUUUUGGUAAAUUUUUAUUUUUUUAUAAUAUUAUUGUAAAAAACCCACAGAAAAAAUAUAAAAAUUUCCUUCAUUUUCCACCCUAGGAUUUCGACUGACAAUUCAAUCCUUUUCCAUCCUUUUUCUCCAAGUCCUUUUUGGUAAUAUAAAGUGAAUAAUAAUAAUAAUAAUAAUAAUAAUAAUAAUAAUAAUAAUAAUAAUAAUAAUAAUAAUAAACUACCUCUUAGAUAUUAAAGAAUGAGUAAAUUUUUAUUUUGAUCACUUAAUUAAAAAAAUUAUAAUUUGGUUAUUAAAUUAUUUGAAAGUUUUUAUUUAAGUUACUAGACUGUUAAAAUUAAUGCUAUAUGGUUUUCUUUAUUCGCAUUGUCUACACUAAUCAAAAGACUUUUUUCCUUCUCUUCUACAGUUCAGUUUUUUUCAUGAAACAACUUUUGAUAUCACAAGUCUACAAACCAAAAUUCAAACAAUUUUCUUCUCCAAACUCCGACAUUGACCUUUAAAUCAACUUAGACCUAAGAUAUGUUCUUUUACUCAUUGAUGGGUACCAAUCCACCAAACUAAUUGUCGAAUCGUCACUUGGAAUUUAUAGUUAAAACUUAAAAAAAAAAAACUUAACAGCCUAGUAUUUUAAAUAAAAUUUUUGAAUAGUUUAUUGAUUUAAAUAAAAACUUUUGAAUAGUUUAAUGGCUUAAAUUGAAAAUUUUUAAAUAACCCAAUAGCGAAAUUAUAAUUUUUUAAAAUUAAAUAACCGAAAAUAAAAAAAAUUACCCGGUUAAUGAUGGAAAAAACUUGGAUUUGAAUUCGCUUUUAAAUUAGGCUUUUAGCCACCAAACUAUAACAUUUUCUUCAUUUAAGUAGUUAACACUUUUUUUUGGUUAAAAAUAAUACCUAAAUUAGCAAUUUGGUGUUACUUUUUCCAAAAAUAUAUGAUAUCCAAAACAUUUCAUUAUUCUUUUUUUAUUGAUUGAUAUCAUAUUUUGAUAUAAAAAUAUAUAUACUUAAAUGAAAAAUACGAUAUAAUUUGAAGGAAAAGUAUUCAAGCUCACGGUUUGAUAAAAUUUACACAUAUCUCUACGUUUUGGAAAAUAACCAUUAACCUCUUUAGGGCUUGGUAAAAAUCUACUAACCCUCUCUGUUAUUGUUCUAUUUAUUUUUGUUAUUUUUAAUUUUGAUAUUUGAUAUUUUCUAUUUAAAAUAAUAAAAAUUUAAUUAAUUAUAAAAUGUAUUUAUUAUUAAAUUAAAUUAUAAAUUGUAUUAUACUCUUUUAAUUUUUGUUUUUAGUAGUUUUUUAUAGUUAAUAUUUAAAUCUUAAUUUAUUUAUAAUAACUACCGGACAAUAGCCAAUUUCUCAACUUUAUGGGAUUUUCGAUAAUAUUUAUAAUAUAUUAGUAUGGUUCAACCAUGCUUCGUGUUGGGUUAAUUAUUUAUUUGUGCCAAAUUAUAAAGUAAAAAUCUGAAGAUUAAAAUAUACUCUAAGUAAGAUUUGUAGAACCAAUCAGUGGUUGAACUAGUCAGGCCACUAGUUCAUACAGUUUUGAUUAAAUAAAUCAUUAAAAAUUCGUAAAAAUAAUUUUAAAAAAUUGAUUCAACUAGUACGAACUGAUUCAUAGGUCAACCAAUCUGAUGCCUCUCUCUAGACUGACAUCCCACUCAAUUCUCGGUCCAGUAUGGUUCAAACAACCAUUACUCUAAGUCUAUAUAUACUUCAUACAUUUAGAAUUUAGUCUUACUACCUUUAUUUUCAAGAAUUUAAUCACUCUACUUUUUUUAUUUAAAAAUCUGCUUUCACAUUAUAUAUAACAUGCAACAUUUUAAUAAAAAAGUUAACGAUAUUAACUAUUUUAAUUAAUUAAUAAUAUUAUAUAAAUAAAGAGACCAAAUUAUAUUAGAAAAUAAAGUAUAAGAAUUAAAUAUUAAAUUUAAGCAUAAUAGAGAGACCAAAACUAAAAUUUAACCAUUUAUUUAUAAUGUAAAAAAAAAAACAUUUUGAACCACGUGUCUGUGUAGGAAGGACCUUCCUUUUAUAUAGAGUUAGGGUAAACUACAUUAGCAGUCAUCCAACUAUUAGUAAAUUGUUUUUUUUUUUGUCAUCCAACUAUGAAAAUUUACAAAAUGGUAAGUCUUUUUUAGUCACCCAAGUAUCUUGGAUUUUUUGGUGUUUUCAUUUUUAUGUUAGUCAGCUAGUGACCAAAAAAGACAAUAUUGAAUAGUUGAGUGACCAUUUUGUAACUUUUUAUAGUUUUGUGACCAUUUUGUAAUUUUUCAUAGUUAGGUGACCAAAAAAGAAAUUUACUUAUAAUUGAGUGACUACUAGUGUAGUUUCCCAUAGAGUUAUAUAGAUAUACAUGUAAUCCAUUCAAAAUGGUAACUUAACUAUUCAAUUUUGUCUUUUUUUAAUUAUCUAACUAUCUUGGAUUUUUGGAUGUUUUCAUUUUUAUGACCAAAAAAGGCAAAUUUAAAUAGUUGAGUAACUAUUUUGUAACUUUUCAUAAUUUAAUGACCAAAAAAGAAAUUUACUAAUAAUUAGUGACUAUUUUAUAAAUUUUCAUAAUUAAAUAGCCAAAAAAAAGUUUUACUAAUAAUUGAGAAAGUGUAGCUUACCCAUAGAGUUAUAUAAAUAUACAUAUAAUCAAUUCAAAUUUUAUUGUGACGUUGAUACGUUUUCUUUUAAGAUUUCUUGCAUUUUCUAUUUUACCAUUUAUCAUGUAAUUGAAAAUUUUUAUAAAUAACAAAUAAAUGCUAGAUAUAAUGGUAAGAUAUUGUAUUGUCAAGAGAAGACUUGGAUUCAAAUUUUGGAGACAAUAUUAUUAAAAAGUAUAAAUAUAAACUCUAAAAGAUUAAUAUUCAUAAAUCGUUUAAAAAUUUUAAAUCAAUAUAAAAUCUAAUCCGAUAAAAAUUUUCAAGUGAAAAGUUUUUAAAAUUAGAAAUUCAAAUUUUAAAGGGAAAAAUUCAAUGUAAAACCAAAUCUUUUCCAUGUUUAUUUAAUCAUUCUAACUUUUAUUUACAAAAAAAAAUGAUACAUUCCGAUAUAAAAUGAAAUAAUAUAAGUGAAAGUAUCAUAAAACCCCUUGAAUUGAGUGUUUAAUUAUAUAUUUUUUCUUUACUCAAAAAUUAGAUAAAAUAAUAAUUAAAAAUUCCAAAUUUAAAAAAUCAACGUAAGACCGAAUCUUUUCCAUAUUUAUUUUUCAUAACUUCCAUUUAAAAUAAAAAGGUAGAAUGAUGCAUGCCAAUAUAAAAUGAAAAUGUAGCUAAAAACAUCAUAAAUAUUUUUGUAUUAAGAGUUGAAUUACAUUUUGUCCUCCUUAUUCAUACAAUAGGCAAAAUAAUUUUGAAAAUUCCAAUUUUAAAAGGGAAAAAGGUAAUUUAAGAGAAAACCUUUUCCAUUUUUAUUUACUCUAACUUCUAUUUACAAAAAAUAAAGAAGGUAAAAUGACAUAUUCUGAUAUAAAAUGAACCAGUGGUAGGUAAAGGUAUUAUAGAGACCAUUAUAUUAGGAGCCGGAUUGUAUUUCAUUUCUUAGAUUAAAAAAGUGGAUAAAUAAUUUAUGUGGGUUAGAUUAAAGAGUAAACUGAUAUUUUUGUUGAAAAUUUUAUUGAUUUAUAAUGUUAAAAACUAACUUAUCAAUGUACUUUAAUAUGAGGUAUAUAGUACGUCAUAUAUAACUAUUUAAUUAUUCCGUCAUUAAUAUUAAUUUUUAACAAUAAAAAUAAAUAAAACAAAAAAUAGGCAAUGUAGGGUUAGAAUAGAAAUAUAAAAGAUGAUUAUCACGAGAAGAUAAAAUGAGAAAAUUGAAAGUGGUGGCUGCCCUGCAAAGUCCAAAGUGACGCCCAUCACUCGCACUCCCUCCUGCUCCUUUUCUUUUUCCACAUCUCCCACGUGUCCUUGCACAUUGCUUCUAUUUACACAUGUUUAGAUAAUAAUGGAUUUCAUUCGAUUCAGUAUAAUAUCAAAAUCCAUAGGGCAGUUAAAAUGCUAAUUCCAGCGUCCAACAUGUUUGAAAAGAUAAUGGUGGAAAUGUAAAAGGAAUUACAAGUUUCACACCUACAAACUGAGGUAUGGUGAUUUAUGUAUUGGUUGUUUUAAGAUAUACGUAAUAGAUCUGGUUGGAUUUUGUUUGUUUCGGCCUAGAGACAAGCUCCCCCAAAUUGGGCAUCAACAUCUGGAAAAGAUUAACCAACACCACACUCCUUCCCCCCAAAAUAGCAAAAUUGUAUCAAUAAAACAAUAGAUUUUCAAUAUGAAUGUAAAUCCCUCAGAAAUCUAGCUCAAGGAAUGAUGACAUAUAACAUCACUGCUACUAUAGAAAAUGUUUCUGUGCAGUGACUUCAAUGUCAAAGAACUCAAAUGUUUUAAUUGUUUUAUCCCUCCAUGACUGAUUUCAAUUUGCAGAUCAUAAACAGUCACUAUUGUUCUACCAAUUGUGUUAUCUAUGAAUGAAUACCAUCACUAUUUGACUUCCCAAGAUACUCCACCUCCGCAAUCAUACUUACCACCUUCCUAUACAUGUUUAAGUUUCCACACCAUUCAUAAUAACCUCCUCAAUCAGAAAAACUGACAACAAGAGCUUAAAUUCAAGCAUGACACAAUGCUAAAUUAGAAAACAUGGAAUCACCCCUCAUAUCAAACAAGAAGUUUGAUAAUUCAUUAGUGAGUGGUGCCAAAAAAGUAUACCUACUGCCCAGGGAUUUAAAUUGCGGUUGCGACUACGUUUUCGGUUGCAUUGCAUUUAUCGUGGUUGCGGACAUAAUGGAUACUAUUGCGGUUACUGUGGGUAUCGCGAUCGUGAAUUUUUUUAAAAAUUCAUAAACUUAUUGUAAAAUAUAAUAAUUAUAAUUAUAAUUAUUAUCACUUUUAAUGAUUUUUAGAGCGUUUUCUAACACUUAUGAACUUUUAUUAAUAUGAGAACACAAUUUUUAUAAUCAUUAAUUUUUCUUAUAUUUAUUUACAAAUUUUCUAAGAAUUUUAUAUUAACUAAUAACAAAGUAAAAAAAAAAGAAAUAUUAAACAUUCAUCAUAUUUAAUAAGUUUGAAAGUUUUUAUAGAUAAAUAAUUGAAAAUUCAUACAUGAGAGAGAUCUUCAAUAUUUUUUAACAGAUUUGAAGAUGCUGAAGAUAACAAAUCAUUCUAUGCUGAAAAAGGAAAAGAUGAAUGUAUAGAUUCUCAUUAAUUAUUCCUAUUUCCUACCACUUAUUCUCACUCUCAUUCUACUUUCAUAUAUAGUUUAACAUGCUUCGAUUCUUAAUUAUCUUUUCAUAAAAUAUAUUACAUUCAUUUAUCUAAAGAUGUAUUUUAAAUGUCUUAAUAUCAUUAAAAUUAAAAACAUUAACAAAAGUUUUCUUUAAAAAAAAUACCUUACAGAUAGUGGUAGUGGUACGAUUUAGUUUUCACCAAUUAGUGGAAUGAUGAGGAGGAUUAGAUCCUUCACCUUCACUUUGAGAGCGUUCUUGACUUGAUUCUCUUAGCCUUUGUCCAAAAAUAUAAAAAAAAAAAAACAUUUUCACCUUGGUUUUCAUAUAAUUGAUAUGGAGGAUAUAUUUGAGGAGGAAGAUAUAUGAGAGGUGGAGGUGGGUGAUACAUUGGUGGUGGUGGAUGCAUUUGAGGCUAGUAUGACACACCAUAAUUAGGAAAUGGUGGAUAAUAACCAUAUGGUUGUGGAUAACCAUGUGAAGGUUGAAAAUAUGGAGGUUGUUCUGGUGGAUAAAAACCUUAAGUGCUAAUAGAUGAAUCACUAUACCCAAGGUUACUAGAAUUCAAUCUCCUACCAGAUGAAGAGCCUAUAGAAGUAUGCUUCUUGUCUUUUCCUUUUGAUGGAGCUUUAGGUUCACUUCUAUCUCUCCUAGGUUCAGGAAACAUAUUUCCAUCAAAUUCUGAUCUAUCACGGAAAUGUCCACUAGUGGUACCAACCCCAUAUUCUCCUCUAUACCGACUAGAAGACCUAAUUUCACCUCUAUCUCUACUAUAUCCAUCAUCAUCAUCAAUUGAACUUAAACCACCACCAUCGGGUCCAUCGCCAUUCUAACUUGGAGUUGCACUAGAACUUGAAUGAGAUAAAUUUUUUUCUUGAGAUUGAUCAACAUUCAUUUCAUCAUCAGAGGUAUCCACAAGCAACACAGCGACAUUUUCACCAUCUAACAACAGAUUCUCUUUCUCAUGAAGCCAUUCUGAUAGUGGAUCAACAUCUUCAAAGAUAUGAAGGCUGAUAGGAUUAAAACUAGCUUUUAUAUCAUCAAUGCUCAUUAUUUUUUGAUGCAUUAUCUGAAGCCUCAUAUUAUAAUAGGUAAACACUAGUUUCUUAAGUUUUUUAUACUUCAACAUAUUUCUUGCCUUGGUGUGAAUAUAACUAAAUGUGCUCCAAUUUCGUUCGCAAUUUGAUGCAGAAGUUAUUUGACUAAGCACUUUAAUUGCUAAUUUUUGUAACUCAGGAACACAUGUGCCGUAUAUUAUCCACCACUCAACUACAUAAUAUUAUUUAAAUUUCAAAAUAACUUUGAAAUGUACAAUAUAAUUAAAUAAUAUAAAUUAGAUUAAAUAAUUUAAUUAACUAUUUACCCGGAUUCAUUUGCUUCCAAGCUCUUUGGGCUUGUGGAGUACCGAAUGUCUCAUGUUUAUCUCUAAAUAGUAACAACUGCAUAAAUAAAAGAUAAAGUAAAAAAAAAAUUCUAUUUCAAAUUAUGUAACUAAGUUACAAAUAAUAGUACUUGAAUCUAACUUGAUUAACCAUUCUGACUUGAGUAUCAAGAGAAGGUUCUAAUCUUUCAAUUACUGAUCUUGUACCUUCUAAUGUUUCUAUUAGUACAUUCUCAGAAUGCUCCACCCCAAAUUGAAAUUGAGGAUUGAAAAAAUAACCUAAGCAUAAUUUAUAAGAAUAUCAUCAAAUAAUAUUCUAAAGCUUAAAAUAAUAAAAUAUAAAAAUAGUUCUUAGUUAUAUGAAACAUUUUAUCUUACCAGCUGAAUGUAAACUGAAAUGCAUAAAAUUCCAUCUAUUGUCAAUAAUAUUUUCGUACUCGGUGAAAUAUCGACAAUCUUGUUGAAUUGCUCAUUUAGCUCUAUCAACAACCUCAUAAAUAAAGUCCAUUGUUGGUUUUUCAUCACCAUCCACAAGUCUCAAUUCUUUUACUAGGGGCUCGUAAACUUUUAUGAGGUCGUUGGCUUUUUUCCAAAAAUAUUUUCCCAAAACAAUUUUUUUGGCUUCAUAAGCAAGCUCUGACUUUUACUGUCCCCAUUUUGAUUCUUUAAAUUCCUAUAUAUUCAUAAGAAAAUUUUAAUUCACGCUUAGUGCACUUUGUGCAGAAGUGUUUUGGGAUUCAAAGUUUAAUUCAUAUGCCUAAAAAUAGAAUAAAUUUACGGACAAGAAAGUAAAAUCAGAUUUCACAGAAACGAGAUAAAAAGAACUAAAUUUACAGAAAUCAGUGUGGUCACUAUUAAGUAAUCUACGAUGAAAAUAAAAAAAAUAAGGGGGUUUAAUUAGUCUGAAAGAAAGAAAAUAAAUUUAAAUAAGAGAAAAUAGAAUGAUGUGUUGGAAAAUAAUUAUUGAGUGAUGAAUGAUAAAUUGAUACUCAAAUUAAACAAUUGUAUCUCUUGGUUUAAUAUUGUAUUUUUUUCAUACAGUUGUAUCUUUUGAAAAAAUGUAUCUCUUGGUUUAAUAUUGAAUUUUUUUCAUUUAUUGUCUCUAUUCACUCAUAUCUAUUAAUUUUUCAACAAAUCUCUUCAUUCUUUUCCUCUCCUCUAUAUAAAGUCAAGUUAGGAGAUUUCAAAAACGUAUCAUCAAAAAACUAUCAAUAUUUUAAAUUCCUUAUAAAUUCAUUUCUCCUGGUAAUAGAGAAAGGCAAGAGUGCUCAAUUGAUUAUUGUUGUUGUGCUACUACUGUGAUUUUUGGUUGUUGUAUCCUGGGAGACAGACGUCCAACAUUACUCAAAGCACCGAGGAGAGGUCGAAUUUGUCUUAAGGAAACUGUUUAUACAGGCCUCAACAAAAUUCUUCUUCUAAUUUUUAACUUUGUCCAAUUACAAGUAUUCUAUUAUGUUACUACUACUACAUUGUAUUGCAUUAUUAUUUUUAUUAACAUAUUAAUACUACAUAUGAUAUCAAAUUUUCUUACAAUCUUAAGACAGAUUAAUUGUUGUAAUUUUAAUCUAAAGCGUACAGAUUACCAUCAUAACUUAUUUAAGAUUGGUUUAUACUUCUGUUUUGGAUUUUAAUUUAUUUAUAAAUUCUAGUUCUUUAUUCCGAUUAUAAAAAAAUGUCUCACACGUCAAACAACUCAUCCAAUUUAAAGGCUGAGGCAAUUGUCGUUGCUCAAGUUCAGGAUGCAAGCCAAACGUUACCUGUGGCUAUGAGUCACAAUGAAAAGCCUGCGAAAUUCACUAGAGAGAAUUUUAAAACAUGGCAACAGAAAAUGUUGUUCUAUUUGACCAUGUUGAAUAUGACAAAAUUUUUGAAGGAUGAUCCUUCUAUUUUUAGAGAGGAUGAGGAAGAUGCUAUUACCGCCUUCAACAUUGUCGAAGCACGGAACAACUUUGAUUUCCUAUGUCGUAACUAUAUUUUGAACAGUUUAUCUGAUGAACUUUACGAAGUAUACAGUAUUAAGAAAACGACUAAGGAAUUAUGGGAAUCGCUGGACCAUAAAUACAAAACUGAAGAUGUUAGUGCUAAUAAAUUCUUAGUUAAAGUUCUUAAACUUUGUAAUGGUUGAUUCUAAAGCUGUUGUAAAUCAGGUGCAGAAAUUCCAACUAAUCAUUCAUGGUAUUCUCGUAGAAGGGAUGGAGAUAAGUGAAUCCCUUUAGGUGGCAACCAUUAUUGAAAAACUUCCCCCUGUUUGGAAUGACUUCAAGAACUAUCUUAAGCAUAAGAGAAAAGAAAUGACGGUGGAAGAUCUGAUUGUCAGACUUCGAAUUGAAGAAGACAAUCGAGGUGCGACUAAAAGGCUAAAAAAAGCAACCAAUCCUAACAUUACCAAAGUAAACGUAGUGGAAGUCAAUGAGGACUCCAAGAAAAGAAAACAUUCUCAGACUGGGUCUAGACUAGGACUAAAAGGCGGUGUUUUCAAGAAACCAAAAUUCUAAGGAAAAUGCUUUAAUUGUAAUAAGAUGGGGCACAAGUCAUCUGGUUGUAGGCUUCUAAAGAGGGUCAGAACAAACGAGGCCAACGCUGUGGAAAAUAUUUCUAAAGAAGUAUCUGAUCUUAACCUUUAUGUUGUGAUUUCUAAAGUCAACUUGGUUGAUUUAAAUCAAGAGAAUGGUGGCUUGAUACUGGUGCCACACAUCAUAUUUGCUGUGACAAGGACUCUUUUGUUGAGUUGGUUCCUUGUGAGAAAUGGGAGAAACUCUAUAUGGGCAAUGCCACAACUUCCAAGAUUAAGGGGAAAGGCACUGUAAUUUUGAAGUUUUGGCAAAUAGUUGAAACUUUAAAAUGUGUCGUAUGUGCUCGACAUAUGCAAGAAUCUUAUCUCUGGGACCCUCCUAAGUAUGCAUAGCUUUAAGAUGAUAUUUGAAUCCCAAAAGUCAGUUUUGUCAAAAGGGGGAACAUUUGUGAGAAGGGGAAAUGUAUUAAAUGAUAUGUGGAAACUCAAUGCUAUAUCUGUAAAAGCUAAUAGUAUGAAUAAGAAUAAUGAUUCUUCUUUUGUUUAUAUGUUUGAGUUAUUUGAUUUAUGGAACGGUUGACUCGGACAUGUUAAUUCUAAUACUUUACAUAGACUAAUUAACUUAGAGCACAUUCCUUUAUUUCACAUUAAUCAUAAUCAUAAAUGUGAAACAUAUGUUGAGGCAAAACUAACAAGGCCUUCUUUUCAAUCUAUUGAAAGAAAUACUGAAUCACUUGAUCUAAUACAUAGUGAUAUUUGUGACUUAAAUUUUUUUCAAACUAGAGGAGUGAAUAAAUAUUUUAUUACAUUCAUUGAUGAUAGCACAAAAUAUUGCUAUGUAUAUUUGCUUAAAAACAAAGAUAAAACUGUAGAGAAAUUUGUUCUCUAUAAGUAGUGUAAUAGCCUAAAUUUGCCCGGCCCACAUACAUUUCAAAAAUAAAUAAAUAAAUAAAUAAGGUCCAAAUGUCCAUUACAUUGACCCAAUUUAAAAAAACCCGAAAUUACAUACCCAAAGUCCAAUUAACAAAAACCCAAUACCUAAAGCCUGACACGGCCCAACCUAGCCCAAAACAUUCCCUAAACACAAACCCUAGCAGCAAUGGCUCACAGCGCAGCAGCAGCAGCACCUCUCAGCCUUCCCUCGCAUGUGCGCCGCCGCCAUGUGCCACGCCUCCACGUCCACUGCUCCGUACGGCCGUACCUGCAACAAACAGAGGCAGACAAAACAACAACAGCAAGAAAAUACAGGGAUAGGAGAUUUUUUCUGUAAUUUUCUAUUUUAUUUUUCUGUCGUUUCUCGGCUAUAAGGCCAUCUUCAAGAAUUUGUAAACGGGGAAUAUCAACACAGACGCGCAUAUUGUAUAGAAAAAAAAUAUUCAAAGAAAUAAAAAAAAAACAGAGGUUUCGAAAAGUGAUCGGAGUUUUUCUUCUGACUAUUCCUUUUUCAAUUUUUUUAAUGUUUAGAUUGCUGUUUUAAAAAAGGGGAAAACCAUUUCAAAAGGAAAGGAAUGAAAAUAUCGCAGUGAGUUUUAGGUUUUUUCUUCUUUCGAUUUCACUAUUUCCCUUUUAUUAUUUUAUUGUUUAUUCGUCAAAAAAUGAUUUAGAAGACAGAAGAUUACCUGAAAUACUAAGUCUCCGCUUGCUCCGUCGUGAUCGGAACCCUGGGGAGGUUCGCGAAGCCUCAAAACAACCCGAAUGUCCGAGCGGCGCAUGCAGGAGGAGAUGGUUUAGGUUUUUUUAGUUUGAUUUGUGAAUGGAGACGGCGGGGUAGCAUUUAGGUUUUUUU
rnacentral:lncRNA from 1 species